rnacentral:tRNA from 1 species
GGGCCAGUGGUGGAAUGGUAUACACGAGAGACUUAAAAUCUCUUGGUCGUAAGGCCUUGUGGGUUCGAGUCCCACCUGGCCCA